rnacentral:lncRNA from 1 species
AUUUCUCAAACCGAUGCUAGAUUCUUCAGUGUUGAUGUUAAAGAGAACACCCUCGUAACGAAUCUCAGACUUGGAAGUCAAGCUGAUCAAGCUACCGAUGUACGAAUCAGCAGACCCACUUGAAGAAGAUCUGGGCGCCUCUGUUGCCGCCGCUGCCAUUAGCCUUUGAGACGAGUGCCUUUUUUUCCCCUUCUUUUCUCAAUCUCCUCGAGACAAUUGAUGAUGAUACACCGGGAUACUUACAAAAUUAUCUUAAUACCCUAAACACAGAAUUGCCAAAAUUUUCAUCAAUACCCUCUGAAAGCUCACGUGAAAUUACUAAACUAUCCUCGCCUUAAAACACUCAUAACACGGCUCAUACAAACGCUCACACGUGCUGGCUCCUCUUUGGUAUUCUUUGUGCUUGACAAAACUAAAAGUGAUUAAAGAUUUAGAAAGAGAGGUUAAACUCAACUCAAGUACUCAACCGAACCGAACUAAAACUUUGUUUGUUUUGUCUUUUUGCAGGUCUAGUCUGGAAUUGGGCCUUGGAUUUGCGUUUUGUUAUGCUCGGAAACACACCUCAAAUGACGAGAAAGACUUUUGAAAACAAACCUCACCUUUGUUUCAAGAUUUCUUUUUUCUUUUUUUUUUAAUUAUGUGGUAUGUAAAAAUUUGUAAUGGAUUACAUUAGUUUGAUAUUUUCACUAGCAAAAAUCAACUAUUUAAGCUUAUUUUAUGAAAUAUUUGGUUAG